rnacentral:misc_RNA from 1 species
AAUUAUCAAACCUCUCUUGAGUGUUUGGAUUUGAAAGUGUCAGUGUUGACUCUUUCUGAAUGUAUGAGUGGAUUUCACUCUUGUAUAAAACAAUGGGAUAAUAUCUUACAUUGUGUUAUCAAGGGUUCCGCUUCAAACCGUCCUUUGGACAAUUUUAAUG